rnacentral:lncRNA from 1 species
CCCAGGUUUAAAACACAUUCUGCUGGGGCAGAAGGCGUUAACGUGUAUCUAGAUGCAGAAACCUUUUCCCCUUUGAACGCCGAGGCAAAUCCGGGGAUUUUAGGCGCGGAAGGAAACCUCUUUACUCAGCCGCUCUGGGCAGCCUACCGGGCUCCGAAACUCCCGAGGCAAAGCCGGAAGAACCUCUCCUUCCCUCCGUCCCACGGAAGGAGCUCCGACUAGGGGAAAGUCCUGAAGGGAGAAAUCUCCAAGGCAACGAGGAAUUUCAAACGGCCGAGGCUAUCCAGAUCAGCAUCGGCAUCUUUCAGUUGUUCUUGGGGAUCCUGUGGUUCUACCUCUACCUGACCCAGUUUGCAGACUCUUUUCUCACUUACAAGACCUUAAUUUGGAAUGCGAAAUACCCAUUAUUAUCAGCGUUUAUCAACUCUGGAAAGUUACUUUCAAAUUAUUUGUUCAUCUACACUGUCUUGUUCAUCUUGGUCUCCUGGAUGGUCCUCAAGUGGAACCACAAGGCCGUCUAUUACUCCCCCCACUGAAUGUCUCCUUCCUCUCCGGCAACACAGCCCUGCCCUCCCAGACCCAUCUUAAAGAUGUCAAGGUCUGAGCCAAACUCCUUUGCUGCUCAGCUCUGGCUGAAGAAUCUGGGAAGGAGAGGACCUAGGGAUAACAGCAAGGAUUCCACCGAAGACCGUGCUCAGAUCUAAAAUGUUCCUUUUUGCAUGGUUUGGUAGCUUCACUGGUGUCUGUGGCUGGCCCCGACGUGGGGCUGGUAUCUCAUGCUUCCCAUUGUGUGCCCAAAAAGGCUCCCACCCUCUCCUCUCAGAAGGGUUCCUAUGGUGUGGGAAGGGGCCAGGGGAGCUUCAGCUCAGUCUUACUUGGAUGACUUGUUUACCAGAGCUUAGGGCAAUCAGAUGGCAGAGCAUCCAUUGAAAAGCCUAGAAAACCAGUAGGACCCCCAGUAAAGAAAGAAUGGGCAGUUGAGUAUGGAUGGCUAUUUGAAAAUGUCAACAAUGUCUUUUCUAAAUGUUUCUUUUUUCUGUUCAAUAAAAGUGAAAUGAAGAUAGUUUGCUUUUGGUAA